rnacentral:ribozyme from 13 species
AUUUCUUUUCGUAUUAUUUAUUUUUCUUGUAUUUUUUGUUAUUUUAAGUAUGUUUCUCUCCAUUGUUGAUGAGUCUUAUGAUGUGGUUAGAACAGCACUUGAAGAACAAGAAGAAGCUGGAAAUAUUGAACCAUUAGAACGUGAUUUAUCAAGAUUUAAAAAUGAAGUCAAACAUGUAAUUUUUUAUGUUGUUCAUUCUAUUACUGGUUUAUCUGUUACAUCGUCAUCAAAAGUUGCUCCUAUGCCAAUUGAGUCACCUUUAAAAAAUGAUCAACCUCAAAAUAUUCUUCAACUUGAUAUGGUUGCUGAAG